UCCCCAUUGUGAAAUNGGGCAGGUCCUUUG
rnacentral:piRNA from 1 species